rnacentral:lncRNA from 1 species
UGACCCAAUCGUGGCCAUCGACAAGAUCUGUUUGCCCAAUAAGUGUAGACUGCAGUGGGAUCACAAUUUAACGGUUCAGGUUAAUUCUUCUCUUUUUCCCAGCAGAAUUGCUCGAGUUAGACGAACUUUGACUUUUACGUGAUAACUCUUCGCCAUUAGAAGUAGAUUUACGUUUAGACAUAUUGCCUUCACGUAAUCACGUAUUCUGACUUCUGAAGCUCUACAAGUAGCGUCUACUUAAAACGUGGUGACUGAACAUCGAAUGUCAGCAAUUCUGCGGCUAUCCUAUCCUCCAGAUCUUUCUGGCACUUUCUAGCUGUUAGAUUCUUUAUUUGACUACUAGAUGGCGCCACAUCUCGGGUUGGCCCGCGGACCCGUUGGUUAGACCCAUCGCCCGCCCCGUUAAAAAAAAUGCCUCGGUGGGUCGAGUCGGGUUGGGUUUUUUUUCGUUCAGCCCGGGCGGUGGCCCGGGUUUUCAUCGCCCGGGCCACAGCCCUACUCGGCAGUCGACAGGGUGAAGUUUAGGAGAACGUAUGCACUCCAGCAAAUGCGUACGGCGGUGCAGUGGGCGUAUUGUGUCGAGUGAUAUCCAGAUGGUCGGCAUUGGUUUCUAAUUUGACGUACUGAAGCCGUCUGGAACAAGAGUGCUAAGAGCCAAGCCAUGGGGAAGAAAAUUCAUUCUCUCUGUUCACAUGACCAGUGUAACAGCCAAAAUAACAAGGGCUUUGUUGUUGUUGCUUAGACGUUUUGAUGUUCGAAUUUUGAUAAGGAUGUAGAUCCUGCCAAUACGGAAGUUCAGCCAAUGUUGUAGCACGACAAGUUGAUGCCCUAGUUACGUCGUGCGGUUCGGGUUAGUUUCACCGAGAUGAGGAAAAGGUAGGCCUAUCUGUUAAAUUCAUUUCUGCCAUUGGAGCAGCUACAGGUAUGAAAACUAUUGAUCCGGCAGCCGAAUUUGGUGCUUUUUAUUUUUAAUUAGAAAAAUUCCUUAUAAAAAUCAGUCCCAAUAAAUUCCUCCAAUAAUCCAGCAUCAUUCUUCUGUUGUUUUUAACUAUUGCAUUCUUUAACUCCUUUGUUUGUCUUCGAAUGAGGUAAUAAUUCAGCAAACACAAGAAUGAUGCUGGAUAUGUUUUAUUUACAGUGACAACAUAACAUCGGUGGCAUUCCCUUCGGACACCGAGUGAUCCCAAGGCAUCAGGUACAUCCAGGAUAUCUGCAAGUACAAUUUAAAAAUUUAUUCUGUUAACCCCUAACGAUCAAUCCAGGACUUGGUUUUCUUGUCUAGUCGUCUAAGGCGGUCUAAGGGUCUAAACGUUACAAUCAGGUUGCAAAAAAUAUUGCAGAGAUAAAUUACUUGCUUUAAAAACAAUAUUUAGUAGCAAAGCUGGGUGCAUAAAACAUGCAUUUUAAUCUAGACAAAUGAGAAUACGAAUUCAUUACUUGGGAAACUGCUACGAAUUGUGAUUAUUCCCCUCGCGCUAUCGGGAGUGCGUGGAACAUCAUUCAGAGAACUACGCUAGUGCCUGAUGACAUCCAUAGGGCUUGUACCAUUUGCCUCGGAAGGUGUAUAAAUGCCUGGUAGUAUUCCAAUGUUUGCUAUCACUUACCGAGUUGAGCUCAGCAACAGCAGAACAGCAAGAAAUCAAUCUUUUCUUUAGAAUGAAACAGCAGACGUUCGCUGUAAUUGUCUUGGUAGUAUUGUGUUCAGUUCAACCUUAGCUUAAAGAAACUGGUGAUGAUAGUUUUGCUCCUCUAACGAAAACAUCGGAAGAAGAAAACUCGCCUGUGUCCCGCCUUAACAUUGUUGAAGACGCAACGGGUAGACAGUCUUUGCCAAUGCUUCCUCAACCAUGCUCAACCAAGAAUUACCAUAGGGUCUACUGUACGUCUAGGUGUAAAGGUGUUCCGUAGGCCUAUAAUAGGCCUAUCGUGAAACAAACUCGAUUCACUAUGACACGCUUGUUUUUUACACAAGUUUUAUAAAGAGAAACAUGUUAAAUGCGAAGGGUUAACGAGAACAUUUUUGUAUGAAACAUAUCAUUUGACAUUAAUGUUAUACUUCAAGAACGACUGUGAUGAACGAAUAAAUAUGGGAGAUGAAAUGUU